UAUGCCUACGGGAGGCAGCAGUGAGGAAUAUUGGUCAAUGGCCGGAAGGCUGAACCAGCCAAGCCGCGUGAGGGAGGAAGGCGCAGAGCGUCGCAGACCUCUUUUGCCGGGGGACAAAAGGCCGGACUCGUCCGGUCCUGAGGGUACCCGGAGAAAAAGCAUCGGCUAACUCCGUGCCAGCAGCCGCGGUAAUACGGAGGAUGCGAGCGUUAUCCGGAUUUACUGGGUGUAAAGGGAGCGUAGGCGGCCUGGCAAGCCUGAUGUGAAAUACCGGGGCCCAACCCCGGGGCUGCAUUGGGAACUGC
rnacentral:rRNA from 1 species